CCAAACUUGGUCAUUUAGAGGAAGUAAAAGUCGUAACAAGGUCUCCGUUGGUGAACCAGCGGAGGGAUCAUUACAGAGUUGCAAAACUCCCAAACCCUUUGUGAACAUUACCUCUCAAGUUGCUUCGGCAGGCGACCCCAGGGCGGGGUUGCAGCCUUGUAUAAGGCGCCUGCCGGAGGACCAAUUUUUCAAACUCUUCUGUAACUUUAUUGGACAUCUGAGUAUUAUAAACAAAAAUAAGUCAAAACUUUCAGCAACGGAUCUCUUGGUUCUGGCAUCGAUGAAGAACGCAGC
rnacentral:misc_RNA from 1 species